UACGAAGGGGGCUAGCGUUGCUCGGAAUCACUGGGCGUAAAGCGCACGUAGGCGGACUCUUAAGUCGGUGGUGAAAUCCUGGAGCUCAACUCCAGAACUGCCUCCGAUACUGGGAGUCUUGGAGUCCGGGAGAGGUGAGUGGAACUGCGAGUGUAGAGGUGAAAUUCGUAGAUAUUCGGAAGAACACCAGUGGCGAAGGCGACUUACUGGACACAUAUUGACGCUGAGGUGCGAAAGCGUGGGGAGCAAACAGG
rnacentral:rRNA from 1 species